rnacentral:rRNA from 1 species
GACGAACGCUGGCGGCGUGCCUAACACAUGCAAGUGGAGCGACGAACCAGGCUUCGGCCUGGGGCAAAGCCGCGAACGGGUGAGUAACACGUGGGGUAACCUGCCCUGAUGAUUGGGACAACCCGAGGAAACUCGGGCUAAUACCGAAUGUGCCCUCCGGCCUCAAGGCCGCUGGGGAAAGAAGCUUCGGCCUCCGCAUCGGGAUGGGCCCGCGGCCCAUUAGGCUUGUUGGUGAGGUAACGGCUCACCAAGGCGACGAUGGGUAGCUGGUCUGAGAGGACGAUCAGCCACACUGGGACUGAGACACGGCCCAGACUCCUACGGGAGGCAGCAGUGGGGAAUCUUGCGCAAUGCGCGAAAGCGUGACGCAGCAACGCCGCGUGGGGAA